rnacentral:lncRNA from 1 species
AUGCCGCGGCCCGCGUGCGCCCGCUCCGCCGCCGAGUCACCAGGAAGGCCCCGGCGGCCCACCCCGCCAGCGCCCCACGCGGGGCCAGCGCCCCCCGCGCCGCCAGCGCCGGGUACCUCACGGCCGCCCCGCUGGCCGCCCGGGGGCGGGGCCGGCGCGCGGGGACUGCGCCUGCGCGGCCGGCCCUCACGGAGCCCGGGGAAGGUUGCGCCUGCGCAGUCGGCCCACUCCGGCCCGGGGGCGGGACUGCGCCUGCGCAGUCGGCCCAACCCAGCCCUGGGGGCGGGGCGACGCCUGUGGAAUCGCCCCUUCAGCGGCGCCUCGGCACCUAGAGCCGCCCGUCCGGCCGGGCCCCGGGGAGAGGCGGGCGUGCGGGCAUUGCGCCUGCGCGCGCCGGCCCCGCCCCCGGCCCCGCCCCGGCCGCGCGGGGCCCUGGGAGGGGUGCAGCGUCCGGCGGCUGCGGCGGCGGCGCGGGAGGGGCCGGGGGCGGACAAAGCCGAGGCCGAUGAAUGGGGCGCGUCCGCCUGCGCGGCCGUGGGGUCCCCGCGGAUUUUAUUCUUAAAUAAAUGCUCAGCCUCAGGCCUGGUUAGGCAGACAGCAGAAGAAGGCAGACCGCAGGCCCCUUGUCCGUGGGAGCAGUGGGAUGGCCCAGGGAGGCAGAGACUCCGAGAAGGUAAGCAGGGCGCUCGGGGCAGGAGAGGCCGACGGAGAGGGUGUUUGGUCCUGUGACUGGGCUGUGAAGUCAGGAGCAAGCAGAGUCUCACCUGACCGUUGUGGGAUCUCUCUCACACAUACUGAGGCUGACGUAUCCAUGACUGGAUUUUAAACGUGAGCGAGUCCUUGUCUUACUCGAUUCCAUCUGUUUAGGUGAUGCAGAAGGAGCACCAUGCCAUCAAGCCACCAGCGUCGCCGUGCCCGAGACCAGCAGGUCCGCCCCGUGUGCGCGCACGUCUGCCCCGCGAUGCGUUUACCGGGAGAACUCCGGGAGCGGCAUGAGGUGACACGCUCACGAGUUCGCCCGUCCACUGCUCAGUGAGAUUCAUGCUUAGCGUAUUCAUAAACAUCCUGAGAGAGAGAGUUCUUCGGGCAGAACUGAAUAGUUAUGGUCAGUCAUGGAGAACCAGCGGGAGCCUCGUCCCCAGGGAGCAGGUGAUUCGGAGAAUACAAACUUGAAAAUAGAAGAGGAAGAUGACUCGCAAACCCCUAAUCACAGUGUGGAGAGAAUGGACUUGGGAAGUGAGCCGGAGGCCGGGAGGCAGGUGGGCCGCGGCCGGGAGCAGGCGGAGGGCGGCGAGGUGGGCUGCGCGGGCCGGCCCCCCGGGCGGCGCGCCUCCCCCGAGCCCGAGGACGACUACGGGGCGCUGCUGGCGCAGUACAGCAGCACCCUGUACAGCGUGGCCAUGGAGGCCGUGACGCAGAGCCUGCUCUCCGGCCGCGGCCUGGGCUCCAGGAAGAAGUCCCCGGCCUGGAAGCACUUCUUCAUCUCGCCGCGGGAC